GCGUCCGUAGCUCAGUUGGUUAGAGCACCACCUUGACAUGGUGGGGGUCGGUGGUUCAAGUCCACUCGGACGCACCA
rnacentral:tRNA from 7 species